rnacentral:rRNA from 1 species
GGUUAAGCGACUAAGCGUACACGGUGGAUGCCCUGGCAGUCAGAGGCGAUGAAGGACGUGCUAAUCUGCGAUAAGCGUCGGUGAGGUGAUAUGAACCGUUAUAACCGGCGAUUUCCGAAUGGGGAAACCCAGUGUGUUUCGACACACUAUCAUUAACUGAAUCCAUAGGUUAAUGAGGCGAACCGGGGGAACUGAAACAUCUAAGUACCCCGAGGAAAAGAAAUCAACCGAGAUUCCCCCAGUAGCGGCGAGCGAACGGGGAGGAGCCCAGAGCCUGAAUCAGUGUGUGUGUUAGUGGAAGCGUCUGGAAAGGCGCGCGAUACAGGGUGACAGCCCCGUACACAAAAAUGCACAUAUUGUGAGCUCGAUGAGUAGGGCGGGACACGUGGUAUCCUGUCUGAAUAUGGGGGGACCAUCCUCCAAGGCUAAAUACUCCUGACUGACCGAUAGUGAACCAGUACCGUGAGGGAAAGGCGAAAAGAACCCCGGCGAGGGGAGUGAAAAAGAACCUGAAACCGUGUACGUACAAGCAGUGGGAGCCUCUUAAUGGGGUGACUGCGUACCUUUUGUAUAAUGGGUCAGCGACUUAUAUUCUGUAGCAAGGUUAACCGAAUAGGGGAGCCGAAGGGAAACCGAGUCUUAACUGGGCGUUAAGUUGCAGGGUAUAGACCCGAAACCCGGUGAUCUAGCCAUGGGCAGGUUGAAGGUUGGGUAACACUAACUGGAGGACCGAACCGACUAAUGUUGAAAAAUUAGCGGAUGACUUGUGGCUGGGGGUGAAAGGCCAAUCAAACCGGGAGAUAGCUGGUUCUCCCCGAAAGCUAUUUAGGUAGCGCCUCGUGAAUUCAUCUCCGGGGGUAGAGCACUGUUUCGGCAAGGGGGUCAUCCCGACUUACCAACCCGAUGCAAACUGCGAAUACCGGAGAAUGUUAUCACGGGAGACACACGGCGGGUGCUAACGUCCGUCGUGAAGAGGGAAACAACCCAGACCGCCAGCUAAGGUCCCAAAGUCAUGGUUAAGUGGGAAACGAUGUGGGAAGGCCCAGACAGCCAGGAUGUUGGCUUAGAAGCAGCCAUCAUUUAAAGAAAGCGUAAUAGCUCACUGGUCGAGUCGGCCUGCGCGGAAGAUGUAACGGGGCUAAACCAUGCACCGAAGCUGCGGCAGCGACGCUUAUGCGUUGUUGGGUAGGGGAGCGUUCUGUAAGCCUGUGAAGGUGUGCUGUGAGGCAUGCUGGAGGUAUCAGAAGUGCGAAUGCUGACAUAAGUAACGAUAAAGCGGGUGAAAAGCCCGCUCGC